rnacentral:lncRNA from 1 species
AAGAUGUGGAACCCACAGAACAUGCUGCCUGUUGUAUUCAUUCCUAUGGCUCCUCUUUCUGUGGCUGAGUAGACAACAUUAUCCGUAGAUGCCUACAAGUAGCAACCCCCAGUCACGACAACUGAAAAUGUCUCCAGACAUUUGCCUGGGGAGGCAAAAUCACCUCCAGAAAUCCACCAUCUUGCGGCAACCCAGGCAUGUCAGGGAAUGCCAGAUCGAGUUCAAGUCCGGAAGACACAGUAGGCUGCCCGGGGAGGAAUAACGAAGACUUCAGGAUUUAUAGUUUGGCAUUGGAUCAAGAUUCUAGAAGGAAUAGGAAGGACUCAGGUAGUUGUUGAUCGCUCCUGGGUUGUCUUGGGUGAGAAACUCACCCUAAUGUGUGAGAGCUCAUCUUAAUGGACAAGAGAGUUGAAUUAUGUCAAGAUUAACUGACUAGUGAAAAAAGGGUCCUUUUGGAAUAUGAUGCUGUGCCUCCUCGGAGAAAUAUACCACAUGUUUGUAAAGAAAAGGCACUACAACAAAACCGUCACAGAAAAGUUAAAUGACAGCCAGGAUUAUUCGAGCCACUCCGUUUUCUUUUGGGGUCCCAGCCAUUCUACUUAACAGUAUUCAGGAUCAAACACUAUUUCCCUGUUAUGGAGAUUGUUUCCCUUAUAGGUUCCUGGGGAGGACAAUAAUAUCAUACAACUAUUCCUCGCCAGAAUUCUGAACCAAUGGAGAAAUGGUGGAUAUUUACCGAGUAAGUUAGUAUUGGUGAAUGUAGCUUAGAUCUGCAGGCAAGUAUUCCUAAUACUCUACUGAAGAAUCAGACAUUGUUUCCCCAUCCAGUUAGAGGCAGUGCUGGACCACUGCCUACACCCUCCACCACUGGGGCACGGCUUCUGUGGCCAAGCUUCCUGCAGGACUGACAGAAAGUAAGAUGUGCUCACCAAAGUCACCUUCUCAUUCAAGAGAGAAAGGGGAGGAGGAUGAAAUAAUGACCAAUUUUCUUCCAAACUCCCAACAGACAAGUCAUCUGCUUUUCCUGGUUGAGGCCAGGAGUGUUAAGCCAAUGGAGACUGUAUUAAUGAAGCCUUUUAUUUUCUGUAUUUCUGAAGCCUUUUAUUUUCUGUAUUUCUGAAGCAUUUUAUUUUCUGUCUUUCUGAUGUUUUGACAUCCGGGGCCUUGCUGACCCUGGAGGACUGCUCCUCCCAGAGUUGGCCAGUUCCUACAAAGAAUAAACAACUAGCCCUCA